rnacentral:ncRNA from 1 species
GUAUCGACUAAGAAGAGAUAAGUACUUUUUAACGGUUGCCCAGAGAGUUAGCGUGUGGUGCGAGCUAAUCGACUGAAGAAUUGGAAAAUGGUCUUGGAGUUGGAAUGACGUGAGCAAAACGUGUUAGCGUCAUUCGGGUGCGCCCGUUAUUGCGCUUAGAUAUCGUCCGACAUAGGACCGUAUUGAAAGAGGGUUAUUUCGUAUGGAAAUAACUAAACCCGGGUGGUAACACGUGUCAACGUCCCGUAG